ACGGGGCCCGGCACAAGCGGUGGAGUAUGUGGUUUAAUUCGAUGCAACGCGAAGAACCUUACCUGGUCUUGACAUCCCGGAGACCCUUAGGAAACUAGGGGGUGCUUCCAUCUGGAAGAAUCUGGAGACAGGUGCUGCAUGGCUGUCGUCAGCUCGUGUCGUGAGAUGUUGGGUUAAGUCCCGCAACGAGCGCAACCCUUGCCUUUAGUUGCCAGCAGUUCGGCUGGGCACUCUAAAGGGACUGCCGGUGUUAAACCGGAGGAAGGUGGGGAUGACGUCAAGUCCUCAUGGCCUUUAUGACCAGGGCUACACACGUACUACAAUGGCCGAUACAAAGGGCAGCGACACUGCGAGGUGAAGCCAAUCCCGUAAAAUCGGUCUCAGUCCGGAUUGGAGUCUGCAACUCGACUCCAUGAAGUUGGAAUCGCUAGUAAUCGUGGAUCAGCAUGCCACGGUGAAUACGUUCCCGGGCCUU
rnacentral:rRNA from 1 species